UAUACCGUGAAACUGCGAAUGGCUCAUUAAAUCAGUUAUCGUUUAUUUGAUAAUACCUUACUACUUGGAUAACCGUGGUAAUUCUAGAGCUAAUACAUGCUGAAAAUCCCGACUUCGGAAGGGAUGUGUUUAUUAGAUAAAAAACCAAUGCCCUUCGGGGCUUUUUGGUGAUUCAUGAUAACUUUACGGAUCGCAUAGCCUUGCGCUGGCGACGGUUCAUUCAAAUUUCUGCCCUAUCAACUUUCGAUGGUAAGGUAUUGGCUUACCAUGGUUUCAACGGGUAACGGGGAAUUAGGGUUCGAUUCCGGAGAGGGAGCCUGAGAAACGGCUACCACAUCCAAGGAAGGCAGCAGGCGCGCAAAUUACCCAAUCCCGACACGGGGAGGUAGUGACAAUAAAUACUGAUACAGGGCUCUUUUGGGUCUUGUAAUUGGAAUGAGUACAAUUUAAACCUCUUAACGAGGAACAAUUGGAGGGCAAGUCUGGUGCCAGCAGCCGCGGUAAUUCCAGCUCCAAUAGCGUAUAUUAAAGUUGUUGCAGUUAAAAAGCUCGUAGUUGAAACUUGGGCCUGGCUGGCGGGUCCGCCUCACCGCGUGCACUCGUCCGGCCGGGCCUUCCUUCUGAAGAACCUCAUGCCCUUCACUGGGCGUGCUGGGGAAUCAGGACUUUUACUUUGAAAAAAUUAGAGUGUUCAAAGCAGGCCUUUGCUCGAAUACGUUAGCAUGGAAUAAUAAAAUAGGGCGUGCGUUUCUAUUUUGUUGGUUUCUAGAGACGCCGCAAUGAUUAACAGGAACAGUCGGGGGCAUCAGUAUUCCGUUGUCAGAGGUGAAAUUCUUGGAUUUACGGAAGACUAACUACUGCGAAAGCAUUUGCCAAGGAUGUUUUCAUUAAUCAGUGAACGAAAGUUAGGGGAUCGAAGACGAUCAGAUACCGUCGUAGUCUUAACCGUAAACUAUGCCGACUAGGGAUCGGGCGAUGUUCUUUUUCUGACUCGCUCGGCACCUUACGAGAAAUCAAAGU
rnacentral:rRNA from 21 species